rnacentral:rRNA from 1 species
UACGUAGGGGGCAAGCGUUGUCCGGAUUUAUUGGGCGUAAAGCGCUCGCAGGUGGUUCAUUGCGUCGUGCGUGAAAGACCCCGGCUCAACUGGGGAGGGUCGUGCGAAACGGGUGAACUAGAGGCCAGUAGGGGGAUGCGGAAUUCCGGGUGUAGUGGUGGAAUGCGUAGAGAUCCGGAAGAACACCUAUGGCGAAGGCAGCUCUCUGGGACGGUACUGACGCUGAGACGCGAAAGCGUGGGGAGCGAACAGG